rnacentral:rRNA from 1 species
GAUCCUGGCUCAGGAUGAACGCUAGCUACAGGCUUAACACAUGCAAGUCGGAGGGGCAGUGGGAUUGAAGCUUGCUUCAAUUGCCGGCGACCGGCGCACGGGUGAGUAACGCGUAUCCAACCUUCCGUACACUCAGGGAUAGCCUUUCGAAAGAAAGAUUAAUACCUGAUGGUAUGAUGAGAUUGCAUGAUAUCAUCAUUAAAGAUUUAUCGGUGUACGAUGGGG